rnacentral:misc_RNA from 1 species
AAAAAAUUCCACAUCUUUCCACAUUUUAAUUAAUACAGAGAAGGUACAUUAGGUCAAAAAUGGCGGACGGAAGAGGUGGUGAUUGCAAUAGUGAUACAGCAGUUAGGCCGAUUCGGAAAGUGCUUCUCAUUUCCGCUGGAGCUAGUCACUCCGUUGCUCUUCUCUCUGGAAAUGUUGUUUGCUCAUGGGGAAGAGGAGAGGAUGGUCAGCUUGGCCUUGGGGAUGCUGAAGAUCGAUUUUCUCCAACUCAGGUGAGUGCAUUGGAUGGGCAGGAAAUAGUAUCUCUCACUUGCGGAGCUGAUCAUACAACUGCUUACUCGGAGGCCUUAAAGCAAGUCUAUAGCUGGGGAUGGGGUGAUUUUGGGAGAUUGGGUCAUGGAAACUCCAGUGAUUUGUUCACUCCUCAACCAAUUAAAGCACUUCAUGGUAUACGCAUUAAGCAGAUUGCAUGUGGAGAUAGCCAUUGUCUUGCUGUUACCAUGGGAGGCGAAGUGCAGAGUUGGGGGCGAAAUCAA